ensembl:lncRNA
GCAGUAAGACACUGAGACAUGGAGGAGACAUAUUAUAGACCUGCAGUAAGACACUGAGACAUGGAGGAGACAUAUUAUAGACCUGCAGUAAGACACAGAGACAUGGAGGAGAGGAGACAUAUUAUAGACCUCUAGUAAGACACAGAGACAUGGAGGAGAGGAGACAUAUUAUAGACCUGCAGUAAGACACUGAGACAUGGAGGAGACAUAUUAUAGACCUGCAGUAAGACACAGAGACAUGGAGGAGAGGAGACAUAUUAUAGACCUGCAGUAAGACACAGAGACAUGGAGGAGAGGAGACAUAUUAUAGACCUGCAGUAAGACACUGAGACAUGGAGGAGAGGAGACAUAUUAUAGACCUGCAGUAAGACACUGAGACAUGGAGGAGAGGAGACAUAUUAUAGACCUGCAGUAAGACACGGAGACAUGGAGGAGACAUAUUAUAGACCUGCAGUAAGACACAGAGACAUGGAGG